UCGACGGUAGGCCGAUUCGGAGAAAAGUAC
rnacentral:sRNA from 1 species